UACAGAGGUCCCAAGCGUUGUUCGGAUUCACUGGGCGUAAAGGGUGCGUAGGCGGUCGGGUAAGUCUGAUGUGAAAUCUCACAGCUUAACUGUGAAACUGCAUUGGAUACUAUCCGGCUAGAGGAAUGGAGGGGAGACUGGAAUACUUGGUGUAGCAGUGAAAUGCGUAGAUAUCAAGUGGAACACCAGUGGCGAAGGCGAGUCUCUGGACAUUUCCUGACGCUGAGGCGCGAAAGCGUGGGGAGCAAACAGG
rnacentral:rRNA from 1 species